rnacentral:rRNA from 1 species
ACACGUAGGGGGCAAGCGUUGUCCGGAAUUACUGGGCGUAAAGAGCGCGUAGGUGGAUAUUUAAGUCAGGUGUGAAAGGCCAGGGCCUAACCCUGGGAUUGCACUUGAAACUGAAUAGCUUGAGGGCAGGAGAGGUAAGUGGAAUUCCCAGUGUAGCGGUGAAAUGCGUAGAUAUUGGGAGGAACACCAGUGGCGAAAGCGACUUACUGGCCUGGUUCUGACACUGAGGCGCAAAAGCGUGGGGAGCGAACAGGAUUAGAUACCCUGGUAGUCCACGCCGUAAACGAUGGGUACUAGGUGUAGGAGGUAUCGACCCCUUCUGUGCCGCAGCAAACGCAUUAAGUACCCCGCCUGGGGAGUACGGCCGCAAGGUUGAA